rnacentral:lncRNA from 1 species
UUUGUUAAAAAAAAUUGAUAAUUUUUCAAGUUAGGUAAUUCUUAAAUCUUUUAUGAAUAUUUAUAAGAAAGCUAUUAAUAUUAACAAAAUGUUAAUUUUUAAUUCAUAUAUAGUUUACGGAUGAUAACUAAAUGUUAAAAGUUUCAUAAAUGAAAAUUGGGACCACUCUAGGACUGUAAAUUGAUGCCUCCUACUCAAGCAAAGGCAAGGUUCUGAUAUGAAUUAAAGUGAAAUUAAAAAACCAAAGAAAUACAAUAGCGCUAUUUAGGAGUGCGCACUUUAAAAACACCAAAAAGGGGUGCCCAAAGUUGUUUUAUAUUUAUAUAAUAUAAAUUAUGGUCUAUCUGUGCUAUGUCUCUUUUCUUCCCCUUUUUUUUUUCUUUUCUCUCUCUUCUGCCAUCUCCCCUGGUUUUACCGUUGAAAACUGACUGGUUUUCUCCGGCAUUGACUAGGCUCUGGAGCCAAAGCUGACCCUGCAACAAAUCGGUGAGAUGAGCCAAACAUCAAUAUUUUUUUUUCUCAACAUAGAUUUACUGUUUUCACUUCAUGCACAUUGGUGUAAACUCAAGUCAGCUGUUACAUUUUAUUUUUCUAUAUAUCAACAAGAAGAAUCUUUAAAGAUAUUGCAGUAUCUUUUUGUUAACAAAUCUAGCCCAUUUAAUACGGAUUUAAUUCAGUCAAUAUUUUUUGGGAUACAAUUAUGUUGUUUACAACAAUUAAAUUACCUGACUUUUCUGCUUCGUUUCGUUUCCAUUUUUAUUCAUGCUUUCCAUGUUUUCCAGGAUUGAAAUGGUAUAAUGACGUACCUUUUAGUUGUUGAACAACACAUGGGGAAUGGCUUUUUUGAGCAUUUAUAUCUCAGAUGCUGAUUUGCUGUACUGGUUUUCUACCUGAGAAUUUAUCUUUGUUUUUUCUUUUCCUUCACGUCUUUCUGCGUAAUGAUGUUGAGUGUGUUUGGUGGAGAUUGGGUGAUUUGGCAGAAUGGUAUGAAGCAAUGGGGUAGGAGAUAGUUCAAUUUAUUCGGAUUUUGGUGAUUUCCUGGACAUUUUCAGGAAUUGAAGCUUCUUUGAGAGAAGAUAUCUGUUGUAAGAACAGAAAAAGUGGAA